UACGUAGGUGGCAAGCGUUGUCCGGAUUUACUGGGCGUAAAGAGCGCGCAGGCGGUUUCUCAAGUCAGAUGUGAAAUAUCCCGGCUUAACCGGGAGGGGCCAUUUGAAACUGAGAGACUAGAGUGGAGCAGAGGACAGUGGAAUUCCCGGUGUAGUGGUGAAAUGCGUAGAUAUCGGGAGGAACACCAGUGGCGAAGGCGACUGUCUGGGCUUUAACUGACGCUGAGGCGCGAAGGCCGGGGGAGCAAACAGG
rnacentral:rRNA from 1 species